rnacentral:lncRNA from 1 species
AUACUAGAAGAGUGCCUCCUGCAUUUUAGCUUCAUCACAAAAGAACACGCUCCAAAACCAUUAUGAAAUGUGAGCUGAAGUGUGGUAAAUGGCACACAGAGGAGAUUUGCUCCAGAAGUACACUGGUGAUCUGAAUUAAAAUACUCAUGUAAACUCACCCAGAGUUUCAAUUCCUUUGAAAAUCUCAGCAUCUUGAAAAAAAAAAUGUUACUGCAGAGUCAGAAUGAAGAGCCAAAGCAUUUCCUUCCUUUUCCUUUCAAUUGCAGUUCUACAGUAUUUUAUGUCAGAAACACUGGAAACAUUUUGUUCUUUUUGUAAUGAUGAAAUGAGCUCCCUGGAAUUACAGAAGCAGAAUAUCAAGGCUUCUCAACUGACAGUGCACAGAGGAUUCCUUAGAACUCAUAAUGGGAAUGUGGUCAAGACAUCAGAUAAAUUUCAGGGAUGAGUUUCACCACACGCAGAAAGACCACAGCAAAUCCACUUGAGUCAAGAUUUUUCAAAGUCUGCUGAAAAUUCUUAAAUUAAUUAUUUACAUACUGAUAAAGUCAUCUCUUUAGAAAUAGAGAACGGAGCCCUAAGAACAGAGACAGUUGUCUUAAACAACAGGAAGUUUAAGAAGACCUUGUCUGUGCUGGGUAAACAACAAAACAUUAUCCCCUCGAGAUGUCUUUCUAACUCCUGGGUGGCUGGCUCCUCAUGGGGAGAGUGAUGGAUGCCUUGCAUAGAGUUGUGAGGAGGUGUUCCCACCUCAUUGUCUAGCACUGGAAAAGAUGUCAUGGAUAUCUUGUCUGAUCCUGGAGUUACUGCGUUUGAGGAAAUGAUAUUUAAAAAAGUCACAGCUCAGAAGAAAACAACGUGAUAGUAUAAAGUCUCAAAAAAUUUCUUCAUAAGAGGCUGAUGGUUUACCCUCUUGAUUGUUUGUUGAGGAGCUGAGGUGGUGACUAGUUCCCAUUCAACAAGCCCUAUCUACAAGGAGAAUGUACAUAUGAGACAUCUAGUAAAGCGUAAAAAAGAACCAAGGACUAAACAUUAGGAAAAUAGAUAGGUCCAAGAAAGGGAUAGCCAUGAUGAAAAAAUAAGGAGAAAGAGACAGCAAAUAUUGCAAGUCAGGAGCUUUUCCCCUAGUUCCAAAAUAGUACCUUUGAGGAACGUUGUACUCUCAGGAACAUGUCUUCUCUGUGUACUCUUCCUCCAAGUUGCUAGCAGAUUUCAGGCUUUUUGCCUGUAAAUCACUGUCUCAGAGUGAUGCCUAUCGGAGUAAUGCAGAAGAAGCAAAUGACAGGACAAAUGAAUAAGCUUUCCAUCAUUUUAAGUCAUUAAGCAUAACUAAAUGGCCCUCUAAAAAGAAGCAUUUCUCAGUUCACUGAGGAAAGCAGGAUUGGUCUUAAAAUUGUAAAAGGUAUUGGACUAAUGUUAACAAAUUUAUAUUUAUAGUGUUAUUAUACCUGACAAUGCCAACUGGGAGGAUUUGGGGCAUGACUGAUAAAUUCCCAGUUCAAACUGCAGCCAUCUAGUAGAAGUC